rnacentral:rRNA from 1 species
CACGUAGGGGGCGAGCGUUGUCCGGAUUUAUUGGGCGUAAAGCGCGUGUAGGCGGCCCGGUAAGUCCGCUGUGAAAGUCGGGGGCUCAACCCUCGGAAGCCGGUGGAUACUGUCGGGCUCGAGUACGGAAGAGGCGAGUGGAAUUCCUGGUGUAGCGGUGAAAUGCGCAGAUAUCAGGAGGAACACCAAUUGCGAAGGCAGCUCGCUGGGACGUAACUGACGCUGAGACGCGAAAGCGUGGGGAGCAAACAGG